AUGCCCGGCUGGUCUUUCAAACAGAAUCCUCAACGCCCCCCUCCACCACCACCACCACAAGCCUCCAGGGGUCCCAGCUACCUGCAUUCCUCCGAGGACCCACAUACCAGAGUACCUAGCAAGGCCGAGCUCCGCACCAUGGAGAAUCAAGGAAGACCAGGGGGCCUCCCUUCAAAAAGCAUAAGCAACCAAGCAAACUAUGAUACACGACAGAAUGGUGCCAAGGGAGAACUGCUGAGCACUGUUUCCCAAUUUCCUGUUACAGAAAAUAAAAUCCCACUGGUUCCAAGAGAGAACAUAUCCCAA